rnacentral:rRNA from 1 species
UACGUAGGGGGCUAGCGUUGUCCGGAUUUACUGGGCGUAAAGAGCGCGCAGGCGGUCGUCCAAGUCGCGUGUGAAAGCCCCCGGCUCAACUGGGGAGGGUCACGCGAUACUGAUCGACUCGAAGGCAGGAGAGGGAAGUGGAAUUCCCGGUGUAGUGGUGAAAUGCGUAGAUAUCGGGAGGAACACCAGUGGCGAAGGCGACUUCCUGGCCUGUUCUUGACGCUGAGGCGCGAAAGCUAGGGGAGCAAACGGG